UACGAAGGGGGCUAGCGUUGCUCGGAAUCACUGGGCGUAAAGGGUGCGUAGGCGGGUCUUUAAGUCAGGGGGGAAAUCCUGGAGCUCAACUCCAGAACUGCCUUUGAUACUGAAGAUCUUGAGUUCGGGAGAGGUGAGUGGAACUGCGAGUGUAGAGGUGAAAUUCGUAGAUAUUCGCAAGAACACCAGUGGCGAAGGCGGCUCUCUGGUACGUGACUGACGCUGAGACGCGAAAGCGUGGGGAGCAAACAGG
rnacentral:rRNA from 1 species